AACGUAGGAGACAAACGUUAUCCGGAGUUACUGGGCGUAAAGGGCGUGUAGGUGGUUUCGUAAGUCUGGCGUGAAAUUUCUCGGCUUAACCGAGGCAGGUCGUCGGAUACUGCGGAACUUGAGGACGGUAGAGGCGUGUGGAAUUCCGGGUGUAGUGGUGAAAUGCGUAGAGAUCGGAGGAACACCAGUGGCGAAGGCGACACGCUGGGCCGUACCUGACACUGAUGCGCGACAGCAUGGGGGAGCAAACAGGAU
rnacentral:rRNA from 1 species